CUUGGAUGAAUUGUUUGUUGAGAGGUUUUCGCAUCAUCACAAUUUACUGCUUCUGUCACAGUUUUAAGUUCAUUGCAAAAAUUUCUCAUGUGCUUGAGUUUGUGGAGUUGGUUUAUUCAGUUCUGUUUCCUCAAUUCAUUUGAUGUAUGGGGGUGCUUGAGUUUUGUUGAGAAUGGUUAUACACUUAUACUGCUAACUUCUGACUCUCUUGUAAGUAAACUUGUAAGAAGUGUCGUAAUUGGAAAGUGUUUUUGGUUUUUGGAAAUGCAAGCUAUCUUAGGUAGAAGAGAGAGAUGUUUGGGGGCAUGAGUGUUAUUGAUAUUUUAAUAUUCUUCAUAAUAGAUAGAAAAAACAUGGUAGGUCUAAUUGACUUUGCUUCCUUUGGUAGAACCUUAAUUACAAAAAGACAUUAAU
rnacentral:lncRNA from 1 species